AUUUUGGUGGCUGAAAAAUAGGCGAUAAAUUGUAAAUUUAUUCAUGACUUUAUUUGUCCCUU
rnacentral:tRNA from 1 species